rnacentral:lncRNA from 1 species
UGAACGCACCCCAUUAAAUGAGAGGAAUGUAUAAGGAAGAAAGAGAAUUUGGGUCUAAAACAUCUAGCCAUCUCCUGAUUGCUUAGCAAAGCUUGGCUACAACUACAAUUGCUAAACUUAUCCUGCUGAAACAGACUCUCUCUGCCUUUCCAUUGUAUCACUCUGCCAUACUAUAUCAUGGCUGAAAAUAUAUAGAGAUUUGAUGGAGCUGAAUGAAGUGAUUAGAGUGAUGGAAAAUGGAAACAUCAUUCACUAGAAACAGUUGAAGUUGCCAGAACCAGUGGCUGACAGAGGGAUAAGACACAAGGGAUUGCUGCUGCUUUUCCAACCCUUGUGCCCAAACUUAAAGCAAGAAGAAGCGAAAGGCUGCACCAAAUGCGGUAACCCUCUUUCCUAGGGGAAAGCCAAACUUUGCAAAAGGACCACCAGAUUUUUCCACUUAUAUUUUGUGGCCCUGAAAUGAAUCAAAGGGACACUCCUUGCUGCAAAUAAAAUGGAGAAAGAAACUAUUUGUCUUUCUUCC